GUGGGACCAAAUAGCCUGAAUGAGGUCACAUUCCUGGUACAAAUAAGACAGAGAUUGUGGCAUACCAUGAUGCAGAAUGACCUGGCUGCCCUGGGGUCCUGGAGUCCAGCCCACAGGCUUCAGGAGACAGAAGAACGGGUCAAGCAGCCUCCAGGUCAAAACAGCACCUAAGAGACAGCCCUCUGCCAUGAAUGGGGUCCCUGGACAGAGGCCCGAAAAUGUCCUCUGCCCCCAUAAGAGAAGGUGCCCGCACUCUAAGCCCCUUGUCAUCCCUCAAUCUAGUGGACUCUCUCACAGAACCCUCCCCCACUUUCCCAUGCUCCUCGCGCCCGAUGCACAAAAAUAGGGGUUCCCAACCCCUCCCCUGAUCUUUAUACAUACUCAUCUUCCCCCUUUGUGGGCUUCCCAUCCCCGCCAGAAUCUACCUCCACCCACUCUCUCCUAAAGCCCUCCUCUUCCUCUGCUGCAGUCCCCUAAUCUAAAUCUAAGAACAGUGGCGCUGCGCCCUCUGUCGGCCGCAAACGUAAAAAACACACCCCAAGAUCCUAGCCCAUCCCACGUGUCCCCCAGAUAGCUCUUCCCGACACACCACAAGCAUACCGCAUUUCCGAGCCACAAUCCCACAAGUGGUACUCCCAAUGCCACAUCAGAACCACACCCCCGAUCCUGCCCCAUCCCACGCCACACAAGAUGCCGGCCCCACUCGCUGUGUGCUGUGCGCUGUGGCGCCUACUGCGCUCCGGUGCCACACCCCCCGCCCCAAAGCCUUAAGGCCUUCACAGCUCCACUCGUGCGAACCAGCAGUCCUACCCGCCUGGGCACAAAUCCAAGCACAACAGCCCGAGGUCACACCCCCACGCCAGGGCCUUGGCGCUUCAAACCCCUCCAGGGCACAACACCUUUGGGCCACAAGGUCUCUGCUCCAGGCCCAGCCCACGCAAGGCAGAACCAUCUCUGCGCCCGACCCUCCACACCAGCUGAAUGCCUACAGCCCCGCGUAGGAGAGCGUCGGGCGGACCGACCCACCUGCUGCGCAGCGUUGCCCGCGGGCUCCCGCAGUCUCGAACACCGAGAGGCGGUGGCGACCCACUGCAGUGCGCGUGCGCGGCCUGCAGCGCCGGAAACCGAGACCCCCAGCGUGCUGCGGGGUCCUUCGCCAGACCUGGGCGGGGAGAAGCUGCUCUGACAGCCUUGCCAGUCAAUCCGAGGGAAGGCUGGCUCAGCUUCGCUGCCACGUGCGCCUGCGUCACUUCUGAUGCCAUUGCCAUGACAACGGAGUAAACAAACCGAAACCUAAAAAAGACCGGAAAAUACCGGUUUAAGAAACAAACACACAGACACUACAAGACCUAAAGACAGUGAAGACGAGUCUAGAAUUCUGAUCCAGAGAUGAGACACGGAGAAACUGAGAUAAGGAGACCAAAGACAAAAAUGGGGGCCCAAGCACAAACUGGAGACUCGAGAUACUGAACAGUCAAGAGACAAGUGCACAGAUCCAGUAUGGGCAGACAGAGCUAAAAACCCACUGUAAGAGGCAGGGAUUCACGCCCGGAGAGACUGGCGCGAAGGUACUGUUUGGGUGAAAAGUUCCAGAAAGCAAACUGAAUUUUUGUCAAAUCCUUGCUAAUCGCUACACUGAGCGACAAAAGAAGUUGGCCCUAGACGCCUGAAGAGAGCAGAAGAAAGCUGCUUUCCAUGGCAGAGCUUCUGAAAGCCAUUUUAGCUGUCUGGAGUGAUUUUUAAAUGUGUAACCGAACAGCUUAUUACUGAAUAAGUUUCAUCCCUUGUUUACAUACACAAAAACACUUUUUGUUUCAUUCUGAGAAUUUUAACUCACACAACAAUCAAAACAAUUUCACUCCUCCGUUUAACAACCACACCUUCCACCACUUAAAACCACUGAGGUGUGGUCCCUCAGUGCAGAUUUGUCCUACGAAUUCAUAUAAUUCUUAUUGAACACUACAGUGCAUGGCCUUUCGACAUACUCUUUCACUGUACAUAAUUCCUUUGAGAUCCAUUAGUAUGUUUAAAUACUUUGUUCCUCGUUAUUGUUUGGAAUUCAAUAAUCUACAAGAUUAAACAUGCACCAGUGGGACUUU